GAUUAGUUGUAAUCAUUCAAUUUUAAGCUUUUAUAUAAACUCGCACGCGUGCCUAUAAGACUAGUUUAUUAUAGUAAAAAGAUGAUGUGAGUAAGUGUAGGGACCGCAAAAAGGAGAGAAAUCUCUAUUAUAUAAGCCAACUCCUAAGGACUUUUAAGUAAAUUAACUUUUCGUGUCCCCUUUUAAAAAGACUAAAAAACCCUCCCACACCCCCAAACAGCUACUGUCAUUCCACCUUCCAUCAAAACCGUCCACCCCAAAUUUCGCCCCCCACCCCCCGCAAAAACCUCCAUCCCAAAAUCUUCGGUUCUCUCUUUCUCUCAAAUCAGUUCUCAAUUUUUUUUUGCGUUUUUUUUCUCUCUCUCUCAAAUCUUCAGUUCUCUCUUUAGAUGUGGAUCUCAAAUCUUCAGUUAUACAUUUCUCUCUCAUAGGGUUUUUUUUUGUCUUCAAAGAUCUCCGCCAUCUCACCGCCGUUUCCCCUAAACGAAGUCCUUUUGGGGCGGGUAUUGGGUCCGAUUCUGGAUUGGGAUCGAGGUUGUUGAUGAACGGUGGGUUCGGUUCGAGAGAGGGUGGUUGAGGAGGAAGAAGAGGAGAGUGUGGUGGAUCAGGAAAGAGAUUCCGAGGGUGGUGGGUGGGUAAAGGUGGAGGAUCUGACCGUGGGAAUGGAUUCGGGUUUGGGAUUGAAAGAGCAAUUCGUCAAUGUCAAAGAACUCUUUCUUCUGAUCUCAACGACCAGGUGUUGGUUGAAGGAAAUUCGCAUAAUCGUACUGCUGUUUUUCAAGGAUCUGGCUUGAAUAAACAAGUUCUUGCCCAGGAAUGAAAGGGCAGGACAAAUGCUGGCAUGUCCAACUCAGUCACUACUGCAAUUCGUGAGAGUGUGCGUGGGAUGGCAAUUGGUAAAAAAAAAGAACACAGAGAAAGCAGAUUGUGCAACUGUUGAACAGGAAGAUUUAUAAUGUAGUUGAUGACGAUCCUGCCUUUAACAAGUCUUUGCAUUUGCACAGCAGCUAAUACAACAACGAUGGCUUGGUUUGAUUGAUGCAUCAUCUAUGGUUCUACAAGCAAAUCCCGCUGCAUUCUCGAGAUCCCUUGCAUUUCAUGAAAUUGCAUAAUGAGAUGCAGAUGAGUAACAUAACAUAAAUGUUGCUUGACUGGAAUUUGAUCAAUGUAAUCUUAUUUAGAUAGUGACUUAAAGUAGAUUUUGAUGAGUUUGUCAAUACGCAAUUUUUAGGUUUUAUCCAAUCUCACACGCAUCGCGUGCAUAUAAGGCUAGUAUUAAUAUAAUUGAAAGUGGGGACCAAAACAUGUCAAGAAAAGAAAGUGUAUCACUUUUUAAAAUACGGCCGUUUAAAGAAAGUGUAUCUCUUUUUAAAAUACAAAGAGAGUAAAACAUUAUAGAGUAUUGUUGUAAUUUUUUUAUACUCUUAUUUGUACUUGAUUGAUUUUCUAAUUUAUUUAUACUCCUAUUUGU